AGAUUACUAAUUCCUUAUGCCAGAUAAACCCAUUAGGUCUUCCACAAAAAGAAUCUCUCAAUCAAGGUUUAAGAUUUAUCAUCUCUGCUUUGGCUUGUAAGACCUUUUUUUCUAUUCAAGAAGAUCUACUAAAUUAAAUUGAGAGAAUUUGAAAUUGGAUGUGUCCUACCAAGGGAGAUUCAAAGAAUAAUUGGCAAUGAAUGUUUCUUCCAACUGCAUCUUGAUGAAUAUAAUUUGAAAUAUGGAAGAGAAAAUCACACCGUUUCGAAGAUUUUAGAGACGGAGAUCUUGCAUAAAGUUGAAGAACAUCAGGUAAUAAUAAAGUUGAAGUCUAUUUUUAGUAUAUUUAUCACACCUAAGUACCAUAGGAUUCAUGACUAUUCUUUACAUGAUAUUUCCAGUAUGCUUUAUAGUUCAUUGAAAUUGAAGCAUACACACUUCACCUUGCUUGUUAUAUGAUUUAAACAUUAGUCUGCACGGGACUUAGUAUACAUAUCUAACUGGUACAUAAGAAGUUGUUAUCAAAAUAAGAAAAAAUAUAUAAAAUUUUGUAUGAUACCAUCAAAGUCAACAUAGUACAAUGAAAGCACUCUAAAUUUUAAGCAACAUGCAUAUAAUCUUCCAUUUUUUGAAACACCAUUUAAUAAAAGUGCAAAUUAUUGCAGGACACAAUAGAGGAAAUUGUAAGGAAAUCAAGGAAGGACAAGUCCAUUGCUAGUCAAAAAAUAAACAUAGGACAAACAUUUGUUAAAAGACCUCAAUUAAUUGUCGUUAUAACUACUGAAGAUGAAAAAACUAAUGAUAAAAGUAUGCCGUUCCAAAUGCUUCAAAAACGUCAAAAUGGUACUAAGCUGAUUGCAUCAAAGAAGAAAAAAAUUUGAAGUCUAAUGUAUCUCAAUGUAUUUUAUAAAUAACA